AUUUGGAGGAGGAGGAGCGCCAUGGGAGGACAACAAUGACCUGGUUCAGCGCCACGGCCGGCACCGCCGCUACCAGAUCCGCCAGGUUCAACACUCCCGCGCUGCGCUCAUGCCAUGGCAUCGGGAUGGGGGGAGGUAGCCCGUCCCUCGCUUCACCUGGGAGCGCGUUGUCGCCCGCGCUCGAUGCAAGCUUGGUGCAUCCGACUCCUGGUGGAUUAGUGCAUCGAGUAAAACAGCUCUAGCGCUUGGCUGUGUGUUCGUUUUUAGGCUGACUGAAGCUCGAGGAAGAAAAAUUCACUGCUUCAAGUUUUUCCAAGUAUCCUGGAAUUGUUGAUCGUCAUCAUGACCCAAAGUACCGCAAGAGCAUUUUGCCCGUGAGUGCAGAUGAUGCUUGUCUCCAUAUUCAGAACAUGUUGAUACAACUAUUUUUUGAUGGAUUUUAUAUACUUGAAACAACGAUGUUCACAGAGUUUCAGUUACCAAUUUUGGACUUGUAAUUUGUAGCUUAAUCUGGUUUUGGUAAACUGACUAUAUGCAUGAUUGUAUUUGUUGGCUAAUUACCAGCGGGAACCAAUAAAAUUCAAUACAGUUUCUGAA